AGCAUCCGCUAAGAAGGCUUUCAUGACUUCCAGCUCCCGCUUAAUCUCAUCAACUUGAUCACCAACACCCGCUAUGGAGGCUGCUUCACUCUCGAGAAUUGCUACAAAUUUGCCAAUGAAGAUGUCUGCUGAAACUAACGCCAUAAUGGCCUUAUUUUGGUAUGUGCUAGCUUAAUCAAAACAACACAUCUAGAAUUGAUUCUGGGGAGCAAUCAA
rnacentral:lncRNA from 1 species